GCUAGCGACAGGCUUAACACAUGCAAGUCGAGGGGCAGCGGGGGUAGCGAUACCCGCCGGCGACCGGCGCACGGGUGAGUAACGCGUAUGCAACUUGCCUAUCAGAGGGGGAUAACCCGGCGAAAGUCGGACUAAUACCGCAUGAAGCAGGGGCCCCGCAUGGGGAUAUUUGCUAAAGAUUCAUCGCUGAUAGAUAGGCAUGCGUUCCAUUAGGCAGUUGGCGGGGUAACGGCCCACCAAACCGACGAUGGAUAGGGGUUCUGAGAGGAAGGUCCCCCACAUUGGUACUGAGACACGGACCAAACUCCUACGGGAGGCAGCAGUGAGGAAUAUUGGUCAAUUGCCGAGAGGCUGAACCAGCCAAGUCGCGUGAGGGAUGAAGGUUCUAUGGAUCGUAAACCUCUUUUAUAAGGGAAUAAAGUGCGGGACGUGUCCCGUUUUGUAUGUACCUUAUGAAUAAGGAUCGGCUAACUCCGUGCCAGCAGCCGCGGUAAUAUGGAGGAUCCGAGCGUUAUCCGGAUUUAUUGGGUUUAAAGGGUGCGUAGGCGGCCUUUUAAGUCAGCGGUGAAAGUCUGUGGCUCAACCAUAGAAUUGCCGUUGAAACUGGGGGGCUUGAGUAUGUUUGAGGCAGGCGGAAUGCGUGGUGUAGCGGUGAAAUGCAUAGAUAUCACGCAGAACCCCGAUUGCGAAGGCAGCCUGCCAAGCCAUUACUGACGCUGAUGCACGAAAGCGUGGGGAUCAAACAGGAUUAGAUACCCUGGUAGUCCACGCAGUAAACGAUGAUCACUAGCUGUUUGCGAUACACUGUAAGCGGCACAGCGAAAGCGUUAAGUGAUCCACCUGGGGAGUACGCCGGCAACGGUGAAACUCAAAGGAAUUGACGGGGGCCCGCACAAGCGGAGGAACAUGUGGUUUAAUUCGAUGAUACGCGAGGAACCUUACCCGGGUUUGAACGCAUUCGGACCGAGGUGGAAACACCUUUUCUAGCAAUAGCCGUUUGCGAGGUGCUGCAUGGUUGUCGUCAGCUCGUGCCGUGAGGUGUCGGCUUAAGUGCCAUAACGAGCGCAACCCUUGCCACUAGCUACUAACAGGUAAAGCUGAGGACUCUGGUGGGACUGCCAGCGUAAGCUGCGAGGAAGGCGGGGAUGACGUCAAAUCAGCACGGCCCUUACAUCCGGGGCGACACACGUGUUACAAUGGCGUGGACAAAGGGAGGCCACCUGGCGACAGGGAGCGAAUCCCCAAACCACGUCUCAGUUCGGAUCGGAGUCUGCAACCCGACUCCGUGAAGCUGGAUUCGCUAGUAAUCGCGCAUCAGCCAUGGCGCGGUGAAUACGUUCCCGGGCCUUGUACACACCGCCCGUCAAGCCAUGGGAGCCGGGGGUACAUGAAGUCCGUAACCGAAAGGAUCGGCCUAGGGUAAAACU
rnacentral:rRNA from 1 species